rnacentral:rRNA from 1 species
UAGGGAAUCUUCCACAAUGGGCGCAAGCCUGAUGGAGCAACACCGCGUGAGUGAAGAAGGGUUUCGGCUCGUAAAGCUCUGUUGUUAAAGAAGAACACGUAUGAGAGUAACUGUUCAUACGUUGACGGUAUUUAACCAGAAAGUCACGGCUAACUACGUGCCAGCAGCCGCGGUAAUACGUAGGUGGCAAGCGUUAUCCGGAUUUAUUGGGCGUAAAGAGAGUGCAGGCGGUUUUCUAAGUCUGAUGUGAAAGCCUUCGGCUUAACCGGAGAAGUGCAUCGGAAACUGGAUAACUUGAGUUCAGAAGAGGGUAGUGGAACUCCAUGUGUAGCGGUGGAAUGCGUAGAUAUAUGGAAGAACACCAGUGGCGAAGGCGGCUACCUGGUCUGCAACUGACGCUGAGACUCGAAAGCAUGGGUAGCGAACAGG